UACGUAGGUCCCGAGCGUUGUCUGGAUUUAUUGGGCGUAAAGCGAGCGCAGGUGGUUUAUUAAGUCUGGUGUAAAAGGCAGUGGCUCAACCAUUGUAUGCAUUGGGAACUGGUAGACUUGAGUGCAGGAGAGGAGAGUGGAAUUCCAUGUGUAGCGGUGAAAUGCGUAGAUAUAUGGAGGAACACCGGUGGCGAAAGCGGCUCUCUGGCCUGUAACUGACACUGAGGCUCGAAAGCGUGGGGAGCAAACAGG
rnacentral:rRNA from 1 species